rnacentral:rRNA from 1 species
UACAUGGGGUGCAAACGUUGCUCGGAAUUACUGGGCGUAAAGCGUGCGCAGGCGGUUUUGUAAGCCAGAUGUGAAAUCCCCGGGCUUAACCUGGGAAUGGCAUUUGGGACUGCAAGGCUUGAGUGCGGCAGAGGAGACUGGAAUUUACGGUGUAGCGGUGAAAUGCGUAGAUAUCGUAAGGAAGACCAGUGGCGAAGGCGGGUCUCUGGACAGUUCCUGACGCUGAGGCACGAAGGCCAGGGGAGCAAACGGG